rnacentral:rRNA from 1 species
AACGAACGCUGGCGGCAUGCCUAACACAUGCAAGUCGAACGAGACCUUCGGGUCUAGUGGCGCGCGGGUGCGUAAAGCGUGGGAACCUGCCCUUAGGCUCGGAAUAACGUCCCGAAAGGGGUGCUAAUACCGGAUAAUGUCCUCGGAACAAAGAUUGAUCGCCUUUGGAUGGGCCCGCGUUGGAUUACCUAGUUGGGAGGGUAAAAGCCUAUCAAGGCGACGAUCCAUAGCUGGUCUGUGAGGAUAAUCACCCACUCUGGUACGGGGAAACGGCCCAGACUUCUACAGGAGGGAGCAGUGGGGAAUACUGGACUACCGGGGAAAGCAAGAACCACCAAGGCCGCUUGAGUGAUUAAGGUCUUAGGGUUGUAAACCUCUCUUACCCGGCAUGAUAAUGACAGUACCGGGAGAAUAAGCUCCGGCUAACUCCGUG